AAGCGUGUGAGCAGCAAAGGUCCUGUCCUCGCCGCGCACUGACGCCGGUCAAUGUAACGUGUUACUCUGGAAGCCAGGGUCGCCACUUGCUGAAUAAAUCCGGGAGAGGGGUUACUGGACAUACCUGAGCAAUUCUCAACACUGCUGGAUAGAUGCCAGCAUUGUAACUGGACUGGAAGAGCUUGGCUAGGGAAGCAGCAAGUUUUGGAGCACAAACCUUCAGUACUAUUUUGGAAUGUUCUUAUGGCCCCUAGUCAUCACAGUAUCCAGUGCCUCCAUCCAUUUCUUGAUAUCAUGUGAAGUGAAUUGAAUUGGCUUGUUUGUGUGACGCCGGAAAUCAUUGGAGGAGGCUGAGAUGGAUCGUCCACUUGGCAUUGGUGCCUAAAGUUCUCAACUUUGCCACAACAAGUACCAUUGCUGCUGCUGCACUGCUGCUUCUCUGAACUCUCUGGAGCCUCAGGAACAUGCCUCGAGUAGGAUCCACUUGCACACUGAUCGGAGACACCGCCGUGAGCCACCGAGAGACCAGCCAACAUACUGCCAAGAGACCAGGCUGAGAGCCACCCAGAGAACACGCUAUAGGGCCCCCCACCAUGAGCCACUGAGAGACCAAGCUGGGACCCACCACGAGCCAAGAGACCAGGCCGGGACCCACUGAGAUAUUCCAUGUUCACUUGGGUUCUCAGUUGUAUUAUCUACUUGACAUUAGUCAUAAAUACGUUUCUUCUUCAUCUUAAUCUUUAUCUCGUGUGUCAUCUGUUGAAAUUGAUUCAUUUAUAAUUUGAUUUAUAAUUGCCGUAAGAUUUUUCAAACUUUAAUUAUGCUCUUUCUUGCAUGCUAGCACAACUUUUGCUUAUUUAAAAUGAUAACUGGCAAAUUUCAGGUGUGUUCCACAAUGAUAAAUAACAAUUUAGUUUAUGCAUUUAUUCCAGCCUAUAUAGGAAUAUAUAGCAAAACUGAAUAAAAUCUGUGGCCCCAUUUAAUUACACUCUUCAUGCGCCAUUUAAAAGUGCAGCUUUGAAAAAGAAAUAUUAGUGUGGUCAAAAUAUAUGUUGUUAGCUGAUCGUCUUGUGGUUGGACAUGCACUUUAGAAUCUUGUCUAAAGCAUUUUGAAAUCUGUUUCAAGAUCAAAGUAUUAUAAAGGUAGCAUACAUGAAAAGCAUAUUUCAAAUCCUGUGUUAGUUCACUUUAUGAAAGCUCAUAGUACUACAACUACUGUGUUCUUCAAAGAAAGUGAGCACUUAUCAUAGUACCAUUAUAGUCGUAAAUUUUCUAAACCCCUAGAGGCCUGGACUUGUGGCAUUAUUUAAAUCAUUUAAUACUUGAUAGCAUAAAAGAGUAAGUUUGAGGAAACACUAUCCAGCCACCCAGCUCACCUCAUCACAUAAUUUCUUUCUCAUGACCCUCUUUGAUCCAAGAGAAAUGUUGCCCUUAAUAUAUAUCCUCCAUUUAAACAUCAAGUAG